CAGUCCUGUUGACAAAUAUUACGGUGUUCCCGUAUUACGGGGAAUUCCCAGUGAAUUGUUGUCAUUUGUUCUAGAUAUUCUACGAAGACUUUGUAUUAUCAAAUGCCACUUGAAAAUGUAGAAAAACAUAGAUUGGAGGAAGAUAUGUGUCAAAGAUGGGCUUUCACUGUUAGAGGCUAGGAUCACAUGGCAAUGGCAACCAGAAGGUCCAUUAAUAAAGAUGAAAAUUUUUAUAAAAGAGUACUAAACAGAAGCCAUCAGAGGUUUUUGGAAGACCUUGAUCCAGUAUCCGUGUUGGAUUUGUUCUUGGAGAAGGAUUACCUACUAUAUACACAAGUGCGUGAUAUUCAGGUAUAUACAUGAUCUAUUCU